ensembl:misc_RNA 7SK 7SK RNA
GAAUGUGAGGGCCGUCUGGCUGAAGCAUCUGUCACCCCAUCAAUCGUGAGGGUUGAUUCAACUGAUCUGGCUUGGCUAGGCAGGAAUCCCUGUCCUCCCUCACCCCUUCAGUUGCAUUCCUCCCAAAGCUGUGCACUGGGUCAAAGAGGACUACCUUUCCCAGUAGAGGAGGACAGUUUUUUGGUCAAGGGUAUAGGAAUAGCUGUGCUCCCCUGCUAGGACCUCCAAACAAGCUCUCAAGGUCCAUUUGUAGGAGAACAUAGGAGUCAAGCUUCCAAGACUCCAUAUACAUCCAAAAGAGGUGCUGCAUGUGGCAGUCCGCCUCUCUUG